ensembl:lncRNA
GGAAAACUUAAAUGAUUCACAAAACCUGGGGCUGUCAGGGACCUUUGCAAACAUUCUUCUCCGUUUCCUGUUUUGACAGAUGAGGCCUCAGUGGCAGUGUAAGUUCAGAUCUUCAGGUAGAUCCCGGUUCUAACUCGUUUAUUUAUUCAUUCAACAAACACUCACCACUUACUGUGUGCCAAGUACUGCCCCAAGUAUUGGUAUAAGAAGAUGAGUAUGACACAGUGCCAGCCGCCAAGGAGCUCACCAUCUACCUGGGGAGACAAAUAGGGUACCAUGCACAAGAUAAAACCGGAAUGACUCUGAUUGAAGAAUAAGUGGAGGGCCCAGAGCCUGCCAGCUUGGCUUCCUUGUUCUUCUGAGAUACUUUCAUGCACCUUGAGGGUUUCAGGGACAUAGAAUGGAAACCACUACUCUAGACAACAGACCUUCAGCCCUUGAUUGUGGAUCGCCUGAUGUCUUCUCUGCUGCCUCCUUCUGUACUUGUGGCACCUACUGGCAGUUUUGGUUUGUGGAGGACACACGUGGGACCUCUCUCUCACACUCUCCUGGGGGUGGAAAUGGCAGAUCCCCUCCUGGGCAGGGUGGCCCCAUUGAGGUUGAUUCUGGGGUGAGAGCCAACUUCUCUGCCUGCUGCGUAUAACUCCAACUCCGGGUCCAAAUUGGGCACAUUAUUUUGGGUACCAGGAGAACAUUCGUUGACGUGUGCCGUUCCACUAGGCAUCUCUGGGCACUUUUUCUCCAGAAGAGUAGCACUAAAUUAAAAUUCUAACUCAAGUUUACAGGCUGAUGAGUAGGAAGGCUGGGGGAGCAGGAAAGGGAGCCGAGCAGAGGGCAGACGGCAGAUGGUGUUGCGCGGCCACCUUGAUUGGUUUGGCCACAAGACAAUGCGGAAGGAUGAUUUACUAGGUGCUUCCUUCACCUUGCAUGGAUGAUACAGGCAGAUGAUGGAAUGUACUUUUGCUUUUUUUUUUCUGUAACAGAAUGCCUUUGGCAGGGAUACUUCCCAGUUAUUAAAAAUGGGGCAAUGAGGUGAGCUCUAAAUGCAAACCCCGUGUAGGAAAAUCCAGAAGAAAUAAGGAUAAGAAGAUGGAGAAAGGAAAGAUUAAAAGUCAGUGAAGAGAAGAAUAAAGAAAGAUUGUUGCAAUGGGAUGGGAAAGAUGGGAAGUUCAGAAAAGUGACAAAACACCAGUGAGGGAAUCAGAGAAAGCACAGGAGUGACCUUGCUCUCUGGUCCCCCUCCCCCGAAAAAGAGAGGCGGUUGGGGGAGGGGUGAUGGGGAGAUGAAAUUUUAUAGGUCAAUGGAAGAAACAGCAAGAAUGAGAAAAAGGAGUUUAGGGAUUUUAGGUCAUUGGACACCCCUGAAGCUGUGGGUAAUGUGCAUUUCAGAAAGAUUUGGGCAAAUUUCCGCAGAACUAAUUCAGAGAACAUGAUAUAGUGUGUCUUGACUCUUUGUAGAGGGACAUGCUCUGUAGGACCAGAGAAACACACACAGCUGAGUCUUUACAACCAUAUCCGGUUUCCAUGUGGUUCUCUUUCUUUUCUGGUUCCCAUAACACUUGUCUGGGUUCAAAUAUAUUUAGCUUUUGAUUCUAUUCAGCAUAGGGAAUUGCUUCUAUUAUUCACUCAGUUCGUUUUAGUUAUAUUUUCUCAUUCCUCACAAGGCUGUGAGAUUCUUAGGGACAAGGGGAGUGCUUUUUUUUUCUUUUGUAUUAUUCAAAGCCUUGUAGUGUGGUGAGCAAAUGGUAGGUGUAGAGGGACAGGGGUGCAAAUGGUGACUUCAAAGGAGAAAACCAGUUUGCCUGCCUGCCUUCUUUCCCUCCUUCCUUCUUUCCUCCUUCUUUCCAUCCUUUCUUCUUUCCUUUCUCCCUUCUUGUCUCCUUCCUUCCAAUAUUUAUCAAAAACUUACCAUGUGCCAGGUGUUCUAGGCCCUGGGGAUGACCAGUAAACAAGCAGACGGAGCUUACAUUCUAGUAGGGGAGAAAGAGAAUACAACAAAUGAGUUCACAUGUAACACGCCACACGAUGGUCAGUGCUGUGAAGGGCACUGGAGGGGCGCAGGGUGAAGCAGCAGGAGCAGAAGGACGGCCAGGGCUCUGGUGUAGACAGGGUGCAGGGAGUGUCCUUUCUUUAUGUCAGUGCCAUUGGAGCAGAGACCUGAAUGAAAUGGGAGAGAUCUUGGGGGGAGGAGCACUCCAGGAGGAGGGAACAGUAAGGCCCUGAGGAGAAAGCUGCCCAGUAUGUUUGGAGGACAGCAAGGAGGCUGGUGGGCUGGCGUGGAGUGGGAGGGGCAGGUGAGAUCAGAGAGGGAGCCAGGGCCCGGAGCAAACAGGUUCUUCUAGCCAGGGUGAGUCAUAUAUUGGAUUCGAUUCUAGGCAAGGGGGAGAGCUCCUGUGUGGAGAAUAGACUGAGGGGCAAAUGUGGAAGCUCUGAGACCACAGGGGCUGUUGCAAUGGUUGAGGCAGGAAUGGUAGCGGCUGACAUGAAGGAAGUGGUUAGAUUAUGGAUCUUUUUAGAAGAUGGAGCUGACAACAUUGGCUGAUGGGUUUGAUGUGGGGGAUGACAGAAGUAGAAGAGUUAAAGGUCACUCAACAGUUUUGGCGUUGUCAGAAGAUGUGUGUGUGACUUGAAUUUGGUGACUCUGCACAAGUCAUUGAACCAAGGAAGCCUGAAAUGCACCUGGCCUCAGUUUCCUGCCUGACUAGUCUGGAAUGAUGACUACACGAAGGAUGUUUGACAAACUAAGUCUCAGGUCCAGAUAAGGGUGACGUGAGGUGAGGGUAAGUUACUCAUUCAUUCUACAAAUAUUUACAGAGCGUCUAUUGUGGCUGAUAUUUUAGGUAGUUUUACCUCUUUUAUCCAGCUACAAUUUACUAUUGUUUGAGAGUGGAACUCAGUCUGAGUUCAAAAAAAUCCCAUCCAAUUCUACUUCAGUGUUAUUGCAAGGUGGUCAGUGCACUAUAAAUAGACUUUAUUUUUCAGAGCAGUUUUAGGUUCACAGCAAAAUUGAACAGAAAGUACAGAGAGUUCCCAUAUAUCCCCUGCCCCGAUGUACACAGUUUCCCCUACUAUCAACAUCUUGCGUCAGAGUGGGACAUUUGUUACAAUCAAUGAACCUACAUUGACACAUCAUUAUCACCCAGAGUCCACAGUUUACUUUAGGGUUUGCUCCUGGUGGUGUACAUUCUAUGAGUUUUGACAAAUGUGUAAUGACAUGGAUGACCCAUUAGAGAAUCACGUAGAAUCGUUUCACGGCCCUAAAAAUCCUCUGAAGGAUUUCAGUUCCACCUAUUCAUUUUCCUUCCCUCCUUCACUAGCUUUGCCUUUUCCGGAAUGUCAGAUAGUUGGAAUCAUACAGCAUGUAGCUUUUUAAGGCUGGCUUCUUUCACUUAGUCACAUGUAUUUACAUUUCCUCCAUGUGUCUUCAUAGCUGAUAGGUCAUUUUUUUAAGUGCUGUAUAAUAUUUCAUUGUUUGGAUGUACCACAGUUUAUCCAUUCACCCACUGGCGGACAUUUUAAUUGCUUCCUAGUUUUGACAGUUAUGAAUAAAGCUUCUUUAAGCAUCUGUGUGCAGGUUCUUUUGUGGACAUAGGUUCUCAGCUCCUUUGGGUGUGUAACAAGGAGCGUGAUUGCUGGGUGAUGUGUGUGGUAAGGAUAUGUUUAGUUUUGUAAGGAAUUGCCAGGGGUAGGGAGUGAGGAAAUUGGAUGAAGGUGGUCAAAUGGUACAAACUUCCAGUUAUAAGAUAACUAAGUGCUGGAGAUGUAAUGUACAAAUGAUGACUAAGUUAACACCGCUGUAUGGUGUAUUUGAAAGUUGCUAAGAGAGUAGAUCCUAGAAGUUCUCAUGACAAGGUAAAAAACCAUUUUUUUUGCUUAUAUCUGUAUGAGAUGAUGGAUAUUAACUAAACUUAUUGUAAUCAUUUUACAAUAUAUGUAAGUCAAGUCAUUAUGCUGUACACCUAAACUUAUACGGUGCUGUAUGUCAAUUAUAUCUCAAUAAAAGUGAAAGAAAAAAAAAGGAAAUUGCCCAACUGUCUUCCAAAGUGGCUGUUCCAUUUUACCCUUCUGCCAGCAAUGAGUGAGAGUCCCUGUUGCUUCACGUCCUCAACAGCCUUUGGUGUGGUCAGUGGUUUGGAUUUUGGUCAUUCUAAUAGGUAUAUAGUAGUAUCUCGUUGUUGUUUUUUUGUGAGGAAGAUUGUCGCUGAGCUAACAUUUGUGCCAAUCUUGCUCUUUUUAUGUGGGAUGCUGCCACAGUGUGGCUUGGCGAGAGGUGCUAGGUGUGCGCCUGGGAUCCGAACCUGUGAACCCUGGGCCACAGAAGCACAGCGUGUGAACCUAACCACUGUCCACUGGGCCGGCCCCUAUCUCGUUGUUGUUUUAAUUUGCAAUCCCCUGAUGACGUAUGAUGUGGAGCAUCUUUUCAUAUGCUUACUUGUCAUCUGUAUAUCUUCUUUGGUGAAGUGCCUCUUCAUUUUUUAAUCGAGUUGUUCAUUUUCUUAUUGUUGAGUUUUAAGAGUUCAUUGUAUAAUUUGGAUAACAGUCCUUUAUGAGAUACAGCUUUUGCAAAUAUUUUCUUCCAGUCUGUGGCUUGUCUUCUCAUUCUCUUGACAGUGUCUUUUGCAAGCAAAAGUUUUUAAUUGUAAUGAAGUCCAGCUCAUCAUUUCUUUCUUCUGUGGACUGUGCCUUUCUAAAAACUUACCACCACACCCAAGGUCAUCCAGAUAUUCUCCUAUGUUAUCUUCUGGGAGUGUGAUUGUUUUGUGUUUGGUCAGUGCAUUUUAGAACUUUAUAUGGCUUCUGAAACUUGCCACUCACUUCCCUCCUUCUCACCUCUUCUUUAGUACCCCAUCUCACUCUAGUAAGCAACACAGAUUAUAUCACAGCUCCCAACAGACUCAAAUUCUUAUGCACAACAGAUGUACAAGGAGAUUAUUUAACUGCUAAUGAAAUCUGCUGGAAGAGCCUGGGAGACCCAGACCAACAGGCUAGUCCUUAUUUUCUUGACUGUUUUGUUCAGAGAUGCAUGUCUUCUCUCAGAUGGCCUCAGCUUGUUUAUAUCACUGUGCCUGCCAUCCGUGCCGACCCUCUCCCCCAUCUUACCCUGGGCUUCUCUCACACUCUGUCUGAGUCAGGAAUAAACUGAGGUGGAACAGGCUUUGGAACUCUUUUGGUCAAGGCUUCUUUUUUUUCACAAAGUGCUGGAAGUGAUGACUGUUGAGCUGACUGAUACGUUACGUUCCGGGGAAAAACUGUGGUGAUGCUGAGAGCAACAGUUCUAUGAAAAUCUUCAACCCACCUGCACCCACUCUAAGGUUCUGGGUUAUGCCAAGUGAUCUCAGUGUCAUUUUGAUCCAGUUGCAUCUAGGACUGAUUGCCAAUUUCUUUCAAAAUCCUGUGCUGACUUCACAAACCCAAGAAAAUUUGGCUUGGCUUUCAUUCCUAGUUGCCUUUAUUUUUGGCUUUGCUUUAGCUAUGUGCUGCACUUAAACUUUUUUUUUUUUUUUUGGAUUCUAGAGGUUUAACCUUGGCUCUUAGGGUAAAUUGCCUGUUUUUGCACCCUGACCCUAAGAAACCAGAAACCCAGAAGUGCAGUCAUGGAAAAUUCUGAAGAACUGGAUAUUCAUUCUCCUGAAGCUAAGUUCAAGGCUGGCACAGAGAUCUGGUAAUGCUGCAUCCCUCAACCCAGAGGUGGCCCUGGCUAGGGGAGAUGCUGGUGCGUGCUCAGCUGAAAGGAUGGAAUUGAGGAGGAAUUAUGGUGUCAGCUAAGGUGGGGUGAAGGCAGCACUUUUGUCCUGCCAGCAAGCUGUACGUGGAAAGCACUCUUAAUUGUCAAGUGUUAUUAGAAAGGGUUAUUAAAAAUAAAGUGCACAAGGAGAGAUGGAGGAUAGAUCGUGAUAGAAGUUGCUCAACAAUGACAGAGGAGGUACUCUGAAAGAAUCAUCCGUGGAGAAGGGAGGAGCAGCAGAGGCUGGAGAGGAAUGAAUGCAUGUCAGGGGGUCUUCCAGACCAGCCUCUGGGGUCAGCCAGUGGACUGGUUCCAUUAGAAUCACCAGGGAGCUUAAGAAUUUACCUCAAAGAUUCUGAUUUAGUGGGUUUGGGUUAGGACCUAGACAUCUGUUUUCAACAACAGCUUCCCCCACCCCAUUCCCAGACGAGGCUGAUUAACAUUAAAUUUUUUUUAAUUUAGGUCACAUUGGUUUAUAACAUUAUAUAAAUUUAAGGUGUACAUCAUGAUAUUUCAACUUCUGUAUAGACUGCAUCGUCACACGCUGCUGGUGGGAAUGAAGACUGGUGCAGCCACUGUGGAAAGCAGUAUGGAGAUUCCUCGAAAAAUUAAGAAUAGAUCUACCAUACGAUCCAGCUUUUCUACUGCUGGGUAUUUAUCCAAAAAACAUGAAAACACUAAUUCGAAAAGAUUAAUGCACCCCUAUGUUCAUUGCAGCCUUAUUCACAAUAGCCAAGACUUGGAAGCAGCAUUUAAAUUUGCGAUGUCAUUGCUUUAGACAAGGGGUAGGGAAAUUAUAGCCCCUGGGCCAAAUCCAACCCGCAGCGACCCUCUUUACAGCCUUGAGCUAAGAAUGGAUUUUACUUUUUUUUUUGGUUUCCAUGAAAAGAGUCUUUUUUUUUUUUUUAUGGUGGUGACAUUGGUUUAUAACAGUAUAUAAAUUUCAGGUGUACAUCAUUAUAUUUCAGUGCCUGUGUACAUUACAUCAUGUUCACCACCCAAAGACUAAUUGCAAUCCAUCACCACACACGUGUCUGGUCACCCCUUUCACCCUCCUCCCUCCCUCCUUCCCCUCUGGUAACCACUAAUCCAUCUCUGUCUCUAUGUGAUUGUUUUUGUUUUUAUCUUCUAUUUAUGGAUAAGAUCAUAUGGUAUUUGAUUUUCUCCCUAUGACUUAUUUUGCUUAGCAUAACGCCUUCAAAGUCCAUCCAUGUUGUCACAAAUGGCCAGAUUUCAUCCUUUUUUAUGGCUGAGUAGUACUCCAUUGUGCAUAUAUACCACAUCUUUAUCCAUUUGUCCCUUGAUGGGCACCUAGGUUGCUUCCAAGUCUUGGCUAUUGAGAAUAAGGCUGCAAUGAACAUAGGGGUGCAUGUAUCUUUAUGCAUUCAUGUUUUCAAGUUCUUUGGAUAAAUACCCAGCAUUGGAAUAGCUGGGUCAUAUGGUAGUUCUAUUCUUAAUUUUUUGAGGAAUCUCCGUACUGUCUUCCAUAGUGGCAUACCAGUUUGCACUCCCACCAGCAGUGUGUGAGGGUUCCCUUCUCUCCACAUCUUCUCCAACACUUGUUGUUUCCUGUCUUGUUAAUUAUAGCCAUUCUGAUGGGCCUGAGGCCAUAGCUCAUUGUUGUUUUGAUUUGCAUUUCCCUGGUGAUUAGUGAUGUUGAAUGUCUUUUCAUGUGCCUGUUGGCCAUCUGUAUAUCUUCUUUGGAGAAAUGUCUGUUUUCAAUUGGGUUGUUAGUUUUUCUGUUGUUGAGAUGUAUGAGUUCUUUAUAUAUUUUGGAUAUUAACCCCUAAUCAGAUAUGUGGUUUGCAAAUGUCUUCUCCCAAUUGUUAGGUUGACUUUUUGUUUUGUUGAUGGUUUCCUUUGCUGUGCAGAAGCUUUUUAGUUUGAUGUGGUCCCAUUUGUUUAUUUUUUCUUUUGUUUCUCUUGCCUGGUCAGACAUGGUACUUGAAAAUAUGCUGCUAAGAAUGACGUCAAAGAGCGUACUGCCUAUGUUUUUGUUUAGAAGUUUCAUGGUUUCAGGUCUUACAUUCAAGUCUUUAAUCCAUUUUGAGUUAAUUUUUGUCUUUGGUGUAAGAUAAUGGUCUACUGUCAUUCUUUUGCAUGUGGCUUCCAGUUUUCCCAACACAGCUUGUUGAAGAGACUUUCCUUUCUCCACUGUAUGUUCUUGACUCCCUUGGUGAAAAUUAGCUGUCCAAAGACGUGUGGGUUUAUUCCUGGGCUGUUGAUUCUGUUCCAUUGACCCGUGUGUCUGUUUUCAUGCCAGUACCGUGCUAUUUUGGUUCCUAUGGCUUUGUAGUAUAUUUUGAAGUCAGAGAGUGUGAUACCUCCAGCUUUGUUCUUUUUUCUCGGGAUUUCUUUACUAUUCAGGGUCUUUUGUUGCUCCAAACAAAUUUUAGGAUUCUUUGUUCUAUUUGUGUGAAAAAUUGUCAUUGGAACUUUGAUAGGGAUUGCAUUGAAUCUGUAGAUUGAUUUAGGGAGUAUGGACAUUUUAAUUAUGUUAAUUCUUCCAAUCCAAGAAUACUGAGUAUCUUUCCAUUUCCUUGUGUCUUCUAUUUCUUUUGACAAUGUUUCAUAGUUUUCAGUGUACAGGUCACACCUCUUUGGUUAAGUUUAUUCCUAGGUAUUUUAUUCUUUUUGUUGCAAUUGUAGAUGGGAUUGUAUUCUUAAUUUCUCUUUCUGCUACUUUGUUGUUAGUGUUAUAGAAAUCCAACUGAUUUUUGUCUGUUGAUUUUGUAUCCCACAAAUUUAACAUAUUAAUUUAUUAAUUCUAAAAGUUUUUUGGUGGAUUCUUUAGGGUUUUCUAUGUAUAAAAUUAUGUCAUCUGCAAAUAAUGACAGUUUCACUUCUUCCUUUCCAAUUUGGAUCCCUUUUAUUUAUUUUUCUUGCCUGAUUUCUCUGGUUAGGAUUUCCAAAACUAUGUUAAAUAAGAGUGUUGAAAGUGGGCAUCCUUCUCUGGCUCCUGUUCUUGGAGGAAUAGCUUUCAGUUUUUCUCCGUUGAUAAUGAUAGCUGCGGGUUUGUCAUAGAUGGCCUUGAUUAUGUUGAGGUACUUUCCUUCUAUACCCAUUUUAUUUAGGGUUUUUAUCAUAAAUGGAUGUUGUAUCUUGUCAAAUGAUUUCUCUGCGUAAAUCGACACGAUCAUGUGAUUUUUAUUCUUCAUUUUGUUAAUGUGUUGUAUUAUGUUUAUUGAUUUACAGAUGUUGAACCAUCCCUGCAUUCCUGGAAUAAAUUCCACUUGAUCAUGGUGUGUGAUCUUUUCAAUGUAUUGUUGUAUUUAAUUUGCCAGUAUUUUGUUGAGGAUUUUUGCAUCCAUGUUCAUUGAUGAUAUUGGUCUGUAAUUUUCUCUUUUUGUGUUGUCCUUGUCUAGUUUUGGUAUCAGGAUAAUGUUGGCUUUGUAGAAUGAGUUAGGAAGCUUCCCCUCUUCAAUUUUUUGGAAGAGUUUGAGAAGGAUAGGUAUUAAGUCUUCUUUGAAUGUUUGGUAGAAGUCACCAGGGAAGCCAUCUGGUCCUGGAAUUUACUUUUUGGGAGGUUUUUGAUUACUGUUUUGAUCUCCUUACUGGUGAUAGGUUUAUUCAAAUUCUCUAUUUCUUCUUGAUUCAGUUUUGGAAGAUUGUAUAAUUCCAAGAAUUUAUCCAUUUCUUCUAGUUUACCCAUUUGUUGGAGUUUAGCUUUUUGUAGCAUUCUCUUAUAAUCUUUUGUAUUUCUGAGGUGUCUGUUGUAAACUCUCCCUUUCAUUUCUCAUUUUAUUUAUUUAAGACUUCUCUCUUUUUUUCUUGGUGAGUCUAGCUAAAGGCUUGCCAGUUUGUUUAUCCUUUCAAAAAACCAUCACUUAGUAUCAUUGAUUUUUUCUAUAGAUUUUUAGUCUCUAUUUCAUUCAUUUCUCUUUUUUUUUGAGGAAGACUAGCCCUGAGCUAACAUCUGUCACCAAUCCUCCUCUUUUUGCUGAGGAAGAUUGUCUCUGAGUUAACAUCAGUGCCCAUCUUCCUCUACUUUAUAUGUGGGAUGCCUGCCACAGCAUGGCUUGACAAGCAGUGCAUAGGUCUGUACCCGGGAUCUAAACUGGUGAACCCCAGGCUGCUGAAGCAGAACAUGUGAACUUAACCACUGUCCACUGGGCUGGCCCCUCUAUUUCAUUUAUUUCUGCUCUGACUUUUAUUUCCUUCUUUCUACUGAUUUUGGGCUUUGUUUCUUCUUCUUUUUCCAGUUCCUUAGGUGUACUAUUAGAUUGUUUAUUGGGGAUUUUUCUUGUUUGUUGAGGUAGGCCUGUAUUGCUAUACAGUUCCCUCUUAGAACAGCUUUUGCUGUAUCCCAUAAAUUUUGGCAUGUCGUAGAUUCAUUUUUAUUUGCCUCUAGGUAUUUUUUGAUUUUUCCUUUGAUUUGUUUGUUGACCCAAUUGUUGUUCAGUAGCAUUUUGUUUAAUCUCCACAUUUUUGUGUUUUUUCUGAUUUUCUUUUUGUAGUUGAUUUCUAGUUUCAUACCACUGUUGUCAGAAAAGCUGCUUGGUAUUACUUCAAUCUUCUUAAAUUUAUUGAGACUUGUUUUGUGGCCUAAUAGGUGAUCAAUCCUGAAGAAUGUUCCUUGUGCAUUUGAAAAGAUAGUGUAUUCUGUGGAUUUUGGAUAGAAUGUUCUGUAUAUAUCUACUAACUCCACCUGGUUAAUGUGUCAUUUAAGGUCAAUGUUUCCUUAUUGAUCUUCUGUUUGGAUGGUCUAUCCAUUGGAGUAAGCAGAGUGUUAAAGUCCCCUACUAUUAUUGUGUUACUAUUUCUCCUUUUAUGUCUGUUAAUAAUUGCUUUAUAUAUUUAGGUGCUCCUAGGUUGGGUGCAUAGAUAUUUACAAGUGUUACAUCCUCUUGUUGGAUUGUUCCCUUUAUCAAUAUGCAGUGCCCUUCUUUGUCUCUUGUUGCAAUUUUUGUUUUAAAGUCUAUUUUGUGUGAUAUAAGUAUUGCUACCCCAGCUUUCUUUUCAUUACUGUUUGCAUGUAGUAUCUUUUUCCAUCCCUUCACUUUCAGUUUGUGAGUGUCUUUAGGUCUGAAGUGUGUACCUUGAAUGCAGCACAUAUAUGGGUCUUGUUUUUUCCUCCAAUCAGCCACCUGAUGUCUUUUUACUGGAAGAUUUAGUCCAUUGACUUUUAAAGUGACUAUUGAUAAGUCUGUACUUAUUGCCGUUUUGUUACUUUUUUUUCUAGGUGUUUUAAUAGAUCUUCUCUGUUCCUUUCUUCUUCUCUUGCUCUCUUCCCUUGCUGUUUGAUGGCAUUCUUUAGUAGUAUGCUUGGGUUCCUUUCUCUUAAUUUUUUAUGUAUUUAUUAUAGGUUUCUGGUUUGUGAUUAUCAUAAGGUUCAUAUAUAAUAACCUACUUAUAUAGCCAUCCGUAUUAAGUUGAUGGUCUCUUUAGUUUGACCUCUCACUGAAAGGUCUGCUCUUUUACUCACCUUCUACCCCAUUGUAUGCUUUUGAUAUCAUAUCUAACCUCUUUUUGUGUGUGUGUGUUUAUGUGUAUCCAUUACCCUCUUAUCAUGGAAAUAGGUAACUUUAGUACUUUUGUCUUUUAACUUUCAUAUUAGCUUCAUAGGUGCUUGAUCUGCUAUGUUUAUUAUAUAUUUGCCUUUACCAGUGAUUUUAUUCCUUUUUUAAAAAUGAUUUGCUCAUUCCUAUUUGUGGUCUUCUCUUUUCCACUUAAAUAAGUCCCUAUAGCAUUUCUUGUAAGACUGGUUUCUUGGUGAUAAACUCCUUUAGUUUUUGCUUGUCUGGGAAACUUUAUUUCUCCUUUCAUUCUGAAUGACAGCCUUGCUGUAUAGACUAUUCUUGGCUGUAGCUUUUUUCCUUUCAGCACUUUAAAUAUAUCGUGCCACUCUGUGCUAGCCUGUAAAGUUUCUGCUGAGAAGUCAGCUGAUAGCCUUAUGGAGUUUCCAUUCUAUGUAACUUGUUGCCCUCCUCUUGUGGCUUUUAGGAUUCUCUCUUUGUUUUUAAUUUUGGCAUUUAAAAUACAAUGUGUCUUCGUGUGGGCCUCUUUGAGUUUAAAUUGUUUGGUGCUCUCUGUGAUUCCUGUACUUGGAUAUCUGUUUCUUCCUUAGGUUAGGAAAGUUUUCAGGUAUUAUUUCUUGAAAUAGAUUCUCUGCCCCUUUGUCUCUCUCUUCUCCUUCUGGGACACCUAUAAUAUGGUUGUUAGUGUGCUUGAUGUUGCCCCAGAGGUCCCUUAGACUGUCCUUGUUCUUUUUAAUUCAUUUUUUUUCUAUUCAUCUUGGGUGAUUUCCUCUAGUCUUUUGUUCAGUUUGCUGAUCUCUUCUUCUGUAUCAUCUCCUCUGCUGUUGAGUCCCUCUAGUGAGUUUUUCAUUUCUCUUAUUGUAUUCUUCAUUUCUGAUUGAUUCUUUUUUUAUAUUUUCCAUUCUUUGUUGAAGUUCUCACUGUGUUCAUCCAUCCUUCUUCUGAGAACAGUGAGCAUCCUUAUGAGUCUUUGUUUGAACUCUUUGUCAGGUAGAUUGUUUAUUUCUGUUUGUUUAGUUCGUUUUCUGGGGUUUUGUCUUUUUCCCUUACUCGUAAUGUAUUCCUUUGUCUUCUCAUUUUGCCUCUUUCUCUGUGCUUAUAUCUGUGUAUUAAGUAGGUCAGCUACAUUUCCCAAUCUUGGAGAGGUGGCCUUAUGUAGAAGGUGUCUUAUGAGGCUUAGCAGUGUGCUUCCCACUCAUCAUCAGUUCCAAAUGUUCCAGGAGUGUCUUCCUGGGCUAUGUGUGUCCUUCUGUUGUGGCAGAAUUGCUGCAGGUGCGCAGGGAGCCUAGGCUGUCCCCCUGCCUGGCUUUUUGUAAUGAUCACUGCAUGUGGCUGCUAUGGACACUUUAGUCACUUUAUUGGGCAUGGGGAACCCCAGAACAGUUGGCUACAAGGUCUAAUAGCACAUUCCUGUUGCAGUUUUUCUGUUAAGUGAGUAGGCCCCCAGUGCUAGGCUCAGGGGCUUGCAAUUGCUGUAGGCCUAUGGCCUACAAGGCUGUUGUCAGCUCUCUCAGGGUUUUAGCUGAGUGGGGCUGGCCCCAGGCAUGGGAGCACCCAAUUGUUUCAGGCUUUGGAAGGUGGGCUGAUUCCCUAUGUGCCUGUCUGAGAAGCACAAGUCUGCUGUAGCUGACAAGACCCACCACCCACAGGACCACACACCCCUUCAACACAGUCCUGCCCCUUGCACCCACCCCGACUCACUGAAGUGGACCUAGUUGCCCCACUGCAAAGGCUGCACACACUCCACCACCACAGGACUGCCCCCUACGUGUGCCCUGCCCAGCAGAGGCAGACCUACUCACCUGGUUGCAGAGGUUUCAGGCACUCCUCCUAUGCAGGCCCGCAAGUUGCCCAAGGGCUUGCUGUUGGGUGGGGCCAGUCCCUAGGGCAGGCUGCCUUGACUGAGAUGGAUUAAAUCAGUACUCUAGUGGGUGGGGCAGACCUUCAGGGUAACAGGUCAGAGGAAGAACUACAAUGGCAUCUGCCAGCAUCUGUGUCAGCUGGCCUGUAGUAGAUCACCAUAAUGGCUGAUGCCAAUGUCUCAGUGCCUGAAGACAUCUCACCUCUCACCAAGAUGCACCCAGAGCCUUUCAGGUGAGUCUCUUUUCACCAAAGGACUGUGCACCUUUCUCUUUGGUGAUUUUAGGUUGUUGAUUUCUCUAACAGAUGAAUUUGUGUGUGGGCCCUUUAAGAACAGGCUUUUUUCCCGCCUUAUGUCUGAUAGCUUUUCUGGGGGUAUUCCCCCUUGUAGUUAAUAGUCAGCAAAGCCAGGUAUUAUGACAGUUUUCUUGGUUGUGCUGAAUCCAAAAGCUGCUUAUUGUGGUAAUGCUCCCCUGCUCAGAUCCCCCACCCCUCCAGGGAAGGCUUCAUAUCUUAGGAUUGCUCUCAGUCUGCUGUGAAGCUCUGUGGCUCAAAGGUGGCUUUUUCCUCUACAGAAAGGAAUUUCUGCCUGUUUCACCUCAGUCAGCACUGUCCCUUGUUGUGGGGGUUCUUUUUAUCCAGUUUUCAGUUCUCUCUUAGAGGCAAUUGUUCCAAGAGUAGUUGUAAACUAUUGUGUCCAUGGGAGGAGGUGAGUUCAGAGUCUGCCUAUGCUGCCAUCUUGAUAUGGUCUUGAGGUUUUUACAUUUUUUAAAGCAUUGUAAAAAAACCUAAAUCCGCCCCCAUCUAAAAGCAAAAAACAAUCUGUGACAAAGAUGUAAGUGCCCUGCAGAGCCUGAAAUAUUUACUACCUGGCCCUUUACAGAAGAAGUUUGCCUAUCUCUGGCCUAGUUAGACGUAAAUAAAUAUGAUGUUACAACUGUUGAAGAGAUAAUGAGGUCUGUAAAAUUUCUACACUUGGCCACUCCUUACAGGCAAGGGAAUAUUUGCUUUGGGUGUUGUUCUUUUUCGAGUGGGAUGCACUAUCACUUUUUAAACUUCUUUGUGUCAGGUGCUGUUGGAUGGGUUACAUUUGCACCAAUGCAUUAAGGUUCUGAAUAGGGUAGGGAGCAAAUGGGCUGCCCAUUGAGGGGGUACUUAAAAUUAUUUCAAUUCCUCCUUUGUUUAGCUGAGGAAGAGAGAGCAGAUCAGACCUUGGACGUUCAGAGGAAAAAUUAAGUUAUUCUCUACUUAAGGCACUUAAAUAGGCAUGCAUCAUAAUGAGGUAAGGGUGUAACAACAGUUUUUGAAAAACAGCUUUGCAAAUGCUGUCUUACCUCUUGGUAUACAAACCUGGCCAAUAGGGAGAGGGGGAGAGAAGGAGAGAGGAGAGGGAUGCAAAGAAAGUGGAUCAGUUUGAGAGAAAGGAUCGGGUCCCAGGGCUUUCUUGAAAAGGGAGGGCCCAACCCCCAACUAGACCAGUCACCUAAACUCAAGACAAUGGCUGAGGCUUGUGGGCCUGGGCUGGUUUUUCUGUGCUACACGCCCCCUCACCCAGCACUCCUGCCCAGGGAUUGCAAAUUGGGGAGCAAUGGCUGAGGAUGGAGUGUGAAUAAAGAUCUGUAACAUUGGUGCCCAUGCAGGGUUCUCCAGAUAAUGCUGAUUGGGAAACCCAUUUUGACUCCAGGGACAGGCACUGACUGUGGAUCUGUGUAGGGUGAACCAUUUAGUUGAUGACAUGCUAACUUUGGAUCGAGUGAAUUGUGGAAUUCCUGGGAAACUCAUGGACAGAAUAACCUUAAGAGAGAGACCCUAGGCUUUCUGCUGAUAUGUCAUUGGGCUUGAAUAAUUUCCUAAAGAACCUAACUCAAUAUAUUUGCUUUUUGCCCUGAGUUUGUAUAGAUUGGUUGCACACAUUAAUUCACUUACUCCUGUACAAAUGUGGAAAUGGAGGCUUAGAGAAGUGAAGUAACUGGCCCGAGUCACAUACUGAGUAGGGGUAUCACAACCCAAACCCAGUCCUGUGUGAUUCCAAAGCUACUCUCUUUCCAUGUAACCCUACAGCCUCUGGCAGAGUCAUGGAUUAUUAGGGAGGUCCAACAGAUUAUGAACCAUUUUCAAAUGAGAAAACUGGGACUCAAAGAAGUGAAGUAACUUGUUCAAGUUUGCUCACCUAUUUACUAGAAUUUCUAUAGACCUGCUUCUGGAAUAGGGAGAUCUGAGUUGCCAUGAACUUCUAAGAACUUAUCAAAGAAAUUGAGAAUGUCAAACAGAGUGUGUUGAAACCCAUAAGAACAAAAGAGCAUUGAGGGAAAAGGAAGCUUUGCAGAAUGAGCAUAUUUCACUUUUCUUAAUGACCUGCCAGUUGAUGCCUUCUUUGAAAGAGCUUUCAGACGACAGGAAGGUAUGAGCUACUUUAGGCAGUUUGGCUCCAGAGAGUUAUCUAUUUAUUUAUUUAUUAGUGCUUUAAACUUUAACUUGGCUAGCCUAAAGCAAUCAUCCCAAAGUUUGGAGUUCAUGACGUAGGCCAGGUACAGGAAAAGGUCUCUCUACCCAACUGAGUGCCUGAGUCUAGGUUGAUGCUCAGCUAUUGGGGGCACCUGGGACCUGGCUACCCUGCUAUCUUAAAUGGCUCAGCUACUAAUGGCAGUGGAAAAGAUGCCCAAGAAGGAGCUUGAAAUUAUCCAAAUCUUCAAGUUCCUGUCCCAGCGCUCCAUCUCAGAAUCUGCCACUGCCCAGGAGAAGAGUCCAAAGCUCAAGGUCUUCUCUGCGAAUACACUGAGUUUUCAGAGCACUGUGGGGAGAGCCCAGGCAUUCUCACCUGAAUAGCUCCCUGACGCAUGUCACAGAGAAUCCCUAUUAUACUUCAGUUUCUGAAGAUGGUACGAUCCAGUGUCUGAUCAGCAGAUGGGACGUGCCUAGAGAAGUUGUGAAAUGUUCUUUCAGAUGGUUAAGUGCAGAAUCUAAUCACUUCUCUGGGGUAAUUUGAGGAGGCCCUAGGGAUUGGGAAAGGACGGGCUGACUUCUUUAAUCUCUUGUCUUUGAGAUUUCACAGUUUUGCCUUUAAGAGCUAAGUGAGAUGAAGAGUCAUGUAAAUGUGUCAGGAAUUGAAUUACUAGGGGCAGCCAGCCCAGAUGGCGCAGUCAGGCUGGGAUCUGAUCCGCAUAUGAUUCACACAGUUGAUUCUGUUUCCAGCUUAGUCAGUAUAAACCUGAGUAAGAUGUACAGAGUGGACACUCUACCUUUUCUUCUAGCUUGGUGCAUAUCUGUAGUUAGAAAAGAGGAACAGCACAAGCCUAGCCUAUUCAUUCACGAAGUGAUGGUUAUUUCUCUGCAGGUCCCUUGGUAAAAUACUCAAGGAAGGUUAGAGCUUUGAAGAGGCCUUAAAGAAUGUCUGGUUCCAUGCCCUUUUUCUCAGGGGAAAAGAAGCUCAGAGGGGAGAUGUGAGUGAUUAACUUGGGGCCCACACAGAAUGGUAAGGGCAAGUUUGAAUGGGACCCUUGGUCUUCAGAUUCUCGGCCAUUAGAUUUAUAACCUGCUGUACUGUCUCCUACUGCCUCUCUACAACAGGGAUAUCACAUUAAAACCCACAGUUUAUAGCAAAAGGAGGGAGGAGCCUCAUUCAUUCAAAAAAUUGUAUUGAGCUGCCAUUGCGUGUAACAAAAAACAAGGCUGAUAAAGUCCCACCUUCAUGGUGCUUAUAGAACCAGAUAUUUUAGAGAACAUAUGUGGACUGACUUCUCUUGCUCUUUCGUUUUCUUCAGUUGGUGAGAAACAGAUACACAGAAAAGGAGUUUUGAGGGAGGUGAAAGAGAGGGAGGGAAGUGGAGGAGAGAGAAUGAGGUGUAUAAGAAGGAGAGAGGGAGAGAAUAUCUCCCAAAGGAUGCUCUCAGAGAGGGAAAUAUUUGGCUGCUGCUGCUGCUGCUUCUUUUUAAAAAUUAAUUGUGGUUAGCUGAACUGUAUGAAACUCCUUUAACUCUCUCAAAUGCAGACUUUUCUACUUUCCGGUACACUUGAGUUGCUAUGGUGAGAGAGUGGCCUGGGACAAGUCAAAUGCAAAACAUUGGAAACAACACACCAAUGCAGUGCAACAUAUUGAAGAGUUAAUUAGAAGGACCUGCUGUGUGUUUCCCAUUCCUUGCAACAGAUUCGAUUGCUUUAUGAUUUGUCACCUGUUUUUCUAAGAAAAGCGUUAGCCCUCCUUCUCAGCUCCCCUUUUUUGAAUGUGUUAAGGAUGGCUGGGAACACAGAAGGUAGGGAAAGUAAACAAAUGUGUAAGCUCCCUGCUGUUCCUUCAGAAAACUUUCAUAGACACACCCUAUGGCCCUACUGUAUCUGUCCUCUCCUGUCAUUCUCCUUGUUUCCACCACUAAUCUAUUGCUGUUCACGUUAGGGAUUAUUAGAACUAAUUUGUGAAAGGUUGCUCUGGAGUUCACAACAGAACAAUCCACUCUGUUUACAUGGCACUUCAGAGUUCACAAAGCACCUUCACAUUUCAUUUCAUCCCAUCCUCCCCACAACCUUGAGCAGUAGAAAUAGCCAGGGUUACCCUAUUUCGUAGUACAGGAAUGGGAAUGGAGGCCAAGGGAGAGGUUAAUUCUUUGCCCAUGGCCACUAUAGUUCAAGCUCGUCUUCUGGCUUCAAGUCCGUGGCUCAGUAGUUCUCUUCACAGUUCUGCUGUGUUGUCAGUGAUUUGUGAACUUAGAAGGUACAGGGCAAUGAACAUCUGACUAUGAAUCAGAAAAGAGAAGAAAGCCAGUUCUCACUCAUCUCAGUCUUCUCAACUGUAAAGUAAGAAGGUUGGAAAGAGAGUUUACCUCUCAGGUCUUAACCGUUCUAACAUUCCCAGCUGAGUGGUCUCACCAUGAGAAAACAUUGACUGAGUCUGGGUCCCUGAGAGGCAAUUGAAGAUACUCCUAUAACAUUAAAUAUUUUAUUUUAUAUAGUAAUGGGUUUAUUCAAAGAGUUAUCAUUUAUUCCUGGGCGUACAUGAUGAUUCUUAACAUUAGUGUUGCUGCUGACAGUUAUCCAGAAGUGUCCUCUUAAAGUGGGGAGAACUCCACUUUAAUGGAGUCGCUCGAGAUUCAGGUGCUUGGUUAACUUUUCAGAUCUAAAAUUUGAUUUCAGUGGUUUACCCAGAGGAGUUCAAACAGGAUGAUGAGGAUCAGUCGGAAUUUAACCAGACCAACAGUAACAAUAGCCGACAAUAACCAACAAUAAAAAUUGCUAGCAUUUAUUGGGCACAAAUAGAGAGCAUUUUUUUCUGGAUUAUUCUAUUUUAAUCUCCCCAACAACCCAUGAGGUAGGUACUAUUGUUAUUCUCUUAGUGAGGAACUGAGACCAAGAGAUGCUAAAUGUUUUGCUCAUUGUCUUCUAGGCCGUAAAGGCUGGACCCAGGUUUCCAACCCAGGCACCUGUGUGUAAAAAGCUGGCUCUUUACUGACGGAAUUCACUAAUUUACUGUUGGUGAGGUUCUGGUUGGAGAGCUGAGUGAAGGCAUUCAUCUUCAUAAGACCCUCCCCUGAGGACACCAAGGGACAGUUAAGAUUUUUCUUGGCGAUCUUGGAAUUAGACCAAAGAUUCCCGGCUGUCUUUGAGGGUUGCAUCAACCCUACAGGACCAAUGAUCUAGACACAGCCCGGGCAGCGGUGGAGACACCCUGAGAGUCUCAUUGCUUGGCUUCAGCUUCCUGACUCCUGCAGACCCGGCCCUCUGUUACCUCAGAGUCAUGGCAGUCCAGCUGAGUAGGUUACCAUAAACCACGUUCCAAUGUGUUUUCCUGCGGAGACAUCCGGGGGCGCUCUGACGGGACUUGAGGGAGACGCUGGUGACCUUAAUUGAAUUUGUAAGGCAUCCUGUUCGCCUUCAUGGAAAAUGGGGAGAAGCCCUACUCCCAUCAACAGCACAUUUACGACCAUCCCCUGAGUGGUUUAUUUCUGCAGAUGGAGAAGCUCAGUCAUUUUAUUUUCUGAUUAUUUUCAAUUUACUGACCAAGUUCUGGGACCGGACCCAGUUUGAGGUUUGUAACCUCUCGUGUGUUAUUAUAGAGAGAGAUGGGGCACAAUUAAUGAAUUCUCACUUUUGCCUCUGAUUCAGACUCGGGUUUUUAAGUGGCACAGUUAGGAGUUGUAUAUUUAAGCGUGUCGGUGCAUGUAGAUCUGUGCAUCGGCGCCCAUAACACAUUUAUUCAGGAAUAUGCAUCUUUCAUCUAAUAUACUUUAUCGCUGGAGGGCCUCGCAGUCUGACCCCCUCUUUUCAUACAGCUUGUGUGCUACACUGUGACAGACUCAUCUCUACCCUUUCCCUUUUUCUGCUUUUGACACAGUUCUCUCACAUCAAGUAUUUUUGUAACAGGAAUUAGAUACAACGUGAUUUAUCUAUCUAGUAAUUAAUUUAAUUUAACUCCACUUAUACAGCACACACUGCUGUGCUGGACACUCCUCCAAGCACGUUACAAAUAUUGACUGAUGCAAUCUGAUUUAUAGCUCUUUGAGGUGGGUCCUAUCAGUAUCCUCCUUUUACAGACCAGGAAACUGAGGCAAGUUUCCUUAUCUGCCGGGGGGACUGGGUUUGUAUGGG